AACGGCCAUACCAUGCUGAAUAUACCGGUUCUCGUUCGAUCACCGAAGUCAAGCAUCAUUGGGCGCGGUCAGUACUUGGGUGGGUGACCACAUGGGAACACCGCGGGCCGUU
rnacentral:rRNA from 1 species